rnacentral:rRNA from 1 species
CUCGCAAGAGCAAAGCAGGGGGACCUUCGGGCCUUGCGCUACCGGAUAUGCCCAGGUGGGAUUAGCUAGUUGGUGAGGUAAGGGCUCACCAAGGCGACGAUCCCUAGCUGGCCUGAGAGGAUGAUCAGCCACACUGGAACUGAGACACGGUCCAGACUCCUAACGGGGAGCAGCAGUGGGGAAUAUUGCACAAUGGGCGCAAGCCUGAUGCAGCCAUGCCGCGUGUAUGAAGAAGGCCUUCGG